rnacentral:rRNA from 1 species
UUUCCUACGGGACGCAGCAGUCGGGAAUAUUGCGCAAUGGAGGAAACUCUGACGCAGUGACGCCGCGUAUAGGAAGAAGUUUUUCGGAAUGUAAACUAUUGUCGUUAGGGAAGAGAAAGGACAGUACCUAAGGAGGAAGCUCCGGCUAACUACGUGCCAGCAGCCGCGGUAAUACGUAGGGAGCGAGCGUUAUCCGGAAUUAUUGGGUGUAAAGGGUGCGUAGAUGGCAUAGUAAGUCUUUUGUAAAAAUGCUGGGCUCAACCCAGUAGGGCAAAAGAUACUGCAAAGCUAGAGUAUGACAGAGG